ACUAAGUUUUAAAAAAGCAAUAUUUAUAUACCAAAUAAGUACAUUAUUAGAGUCGUCAUUAAUUAUAUUUUAAUAGUAUACAUAUUUAAUGUCAUAAAUCUUUAUAAUCUCUCUAGGCUAAGCUUAAGAUGAUUUAACUCUCCAACAAAAUUAGAAUGAUUUAUAAUUUGAAAUGGAGAGAGUCGAUAAAAUAAAUACGAGGACACAUGCCUU
rnacentral:lncRNA from 1 species